GGCUGGCGGGCCUGGCGGCGGUGAGGGGCGUGAGGCCCGGCUGGGGAGGAGGGGCCAGCUCCGGAGCGCGGGAGAUUUCGGCGCCGCGGGCUGGCAAGUCUCCUCCCCUGCUGCCCGGCAGCCCCUCCCUGCGACCCGAGGAGCGGCCCCAGCCCCAGUCCCCCGGCCCCUGGAGCCCUAGACCCCCCACCUCAGAGUGGAUUUCAAAAUCCACUUCCUACUUUAAUUCCACCCCCAGCUCCAGAGAUCCCUCCAUCAGUCAGACCCUCCGACCUCCCCAAGGGCUAUGCCUCAGGCCGCCCCUUCCUCCCACCAGGCUCACCAGUGACUCACCCGGAAGAGGGGUUACUCAGGCCCAGGCCCCCCCGCCAGGCCUACCCACUCCCAGCCCGCUGUCGUCCUCAGUGGCCACGUAGCACACUUGCCUCCCCCUCUUCCCACCCCAGGAUCCUAGACUAUUCCUUUGAAUUCCUUGUUUUGGGGUCCCAUUCUUUCAAUGAUAGAGGAAAGUUAAGACCCCCCCCCGCCUUUCCUAAAGAAACACAGGCUUGUAGGGUUGAUUUCUCAAUAAAUGUUUGAUUCACAUCCGUCCUUAGGGGCUCAGAGACCUCGUUUCAACUGAAGUAGACUAAUGCAUAGAUAAUACCCCAAUCUGCCUUUUCUGGAGCUGCCAAAGGCUGAGGGAGCAGUAGUGUUCCAAUCAAAGGGCACUUCUCUUGAGCCCCUACUAUGUCCAAUGCAUUGGGUUAAGGUUGACGGUGGAGAAAAUAACACAAUUCAUUUCUGCCUCAAAAAGACAGUUUCUAGUGAGAAGUUUCCGCUCUGAGUGCGAUAGAGACUACUACACUUCCGGCCGCUCAUAGUAUUUAACUUAGGGAAUUCAAUUUCCUGUUGACUAUUCUGUUGAGGUUCUGGUCUUUGAAGGUCCACUUAAAACGUUUGCUUUUGAAUGAAUGAUAAACCUUGCCUGUACGUUAGAAUCCAGGCCACUGUGUCCAGAAUCCCUGGGAUCCACAUGAAAUUGUGAUUGCCAGCCAAGUUUUCCGAGUUGAGUCUCAGGGAUUUGAAGACAUGGUACAGCACUUUCUGAGCGUGUUCCUCGCUUAGGAAUUUCCUUUCCCUGCUGGCUGGACAUUAAAUAGAUUUGUGAACCUUUAGAAGAAAUGGACAAGCUGAUCCUAAAAUUCGUAUGAGUUGCAAGAGACUACAAAGAACCAAAAGAAUCUUGAACAAAACAAAAUUGGAGGACUCACACCUUGAUUUUUAAGCUUACCACAAAGCUACAAUAAUCAAAACGCUGUGCUACUGGCAUAAGGAUAGACCCAUAGAUUAAUGAGAAUAAAUAGAGAAUCUAGAAAUAAACUUUCUAUUUGUGGUCAGUUGAUUUUUGACAAGGGUGCUGUGAUGGUUAAUUUUGUUUCAACCUGCCUAGGCUAUGGUGCCCAGUUGUUUGGUCAAACACAGUCUAGAUGUUGCUGUGAAGGUAUUGUGGAUGUAAGUAACAUUUACAAUUAGUUGAUCUAAGUAAAGCCGAUUACCCUCCAUAAGGUGAGUGAGUCUCAUUCAACCAAUGGAAGGCCUUGAUAGCAAAGACUGAGGUUUACAGAGAAAGAAGCAAUUCUGCUUCAAGACUGCAACAUAGAAAAACCUGCUGGCUUCCUUUGCAAAUUUCAGACUCCAGACUACAAAAUCAACUUUUAUCUGAAUUUCCACAUGUUGGCCUGCCCGACGAUUUCAGACAUGCCAGGCCUAACAAUCAUGGUACCUAAUUCGUUAAAAUAAAUCUCUCUAUAAUAUAUCCUAAUGGUUCUUUGGAGAAUGCUGAUGUAUACAGGUACCAAGACCAUUCAGUGUGAAAGAACAGUCAUUUUAACGAAGGUUGCUGGUAUAACUGGAUAUCCACAUGCAAAAGAAUGAAGCUGGACUGCUACUUUGCACCGAAUACAAAUCUCAAAAUGAAGCACAGACCUCAAUGUGGGAGCUAGAGCUAUAACAUUCUCAGAAAAACACAUAAGACCAAAUCUUCAUGGCCUUGGAAUUAGCAUCGGUUUCUUAGACAUGACACUAAAAUCACAAAAAGACAAAGGAAAAAACAUAGAAAAAUAGGACUAACGUGUGUGCUUCCAAGGAAGCCAUCAGGAAAGUGAAAAGACAAUCCAUAGAAUGGGAGAAAUAUUUGCAAAUCAAAUAUCUGAUAAAGGACUUGAAUCGGAAUGUAUAAAGAACUUCUACAAUUCUAUAGCAAAAAAACAACGCAAUUAAAAAACGUCAAAAUAUUGAAUAGACACUUCCUCAAAGAAGAUAUAUGAAUACAGAUAGCUAAUAAGUACAUUAAAAGAUGCUCAACAUCAUUAGUUAUUAGGGAAAUGUAAAUCAAAACCGCAAUGAGAUACCAGUUCAUACCCACUCAGAUGGCUAUAAUAAAAAAGACAAUAGCAAGUGGUGGUACAGAGAUUGGUAGAGAAAUUGGAACCCUCAUACACUGCUGAUGGGAACAUAAAAUGGUGCAGUCAAUUUGCAAAACAGCUUGGCAGUUCUUUAAAAGUUAAACAUAGAACUACCAUAUGACUCAGCAAUUCUACUCAAGUGUAUACUCAGGUGAUGUGGAAACAUAUGUCUACACAAAACUUGUAUCAAUACAUGAAUGGUCAUAGCAACAUUAUUCAUAAGAGCCAAAAAGAAUUAACAAUCCAAAUGUCCGCUAACUGACGAACAGAUAAAAUGUGGCUUAUCUAUACAACGGGAUAUUAUUUGGCAAUGAAAAGAAAUGAAGUACUGACACAUGGUACAACAUGGAUGAACCUUAAAAACAUUAUAAGUGAAAGAAACCUGACAUAAAAAGUCACAUUUUUCUGGUUACAUUUAUCUGAAAUGUCCGGAAUCAGCAAAUUCAGAGAGACAGAAUGUGGAUUCGUAGUUGC